rnacentral:rRNA from 1 species
UACGUAGGGUGCAAGCGUUAAUCGGAAUUACUGGGCGUAAAGCGUGCGUAGACGGUUAUGUAAGUCAGAUGUGAAAGCCCAGGGCUCAACCUUGGAAUUGCAUUUGAGACUGCAUAGCUAGGGUGCGGAAGAGGGAAGCGGAAUUUCCGGUGUAGCGGUGAAAUGCAUUGAGAUCGGAAAGAACACCAACGGCGAAAGCACUCUGCUGGGCCGACACUGACACUGAGAGACGAAAGCUAGGGGAGCAAAUGGG